GACGAACGCUGGCGGCGUGCCUAAUACAUGCAAGUCGAACGCUGAAGAGAGGAGCUUGCUCUUCUUGGAUGAGUCGCGAACGGGUGAGUAACGCGUAGGUAACCUGCCUUGUAGCGGGGGAUAACUAUUGGAAACGAUAGCUAAUACCGCAUAACAACGGAUGACACAUGUCAGGUAUUUGAAAGGGGCAAUUGCUCCACUACAAGAUGGACCUGCGUUGUAUUAGCUAGGAGGUGAGGUAACGGCUCACCUAGGCGACGAUGCAUAGCCCACCUGAGAGGGUGGUCAGCCGCACUGGGAGUGAGACACGGCCCAGACUCCUUCGGGAAGCAGCAGUAGGGAAUCUUCGGCAAUGGGGGCAAACCUGACCGAGCAACGCCGCGUGAGUGAAGAAGGUUGUCGGGUCGUAAAGCUCGGUUGUAAGUCAAGAACGAGUGUGAGAGUGGGAAGUUCACACUGUGACGGUAGCUUACCAGAAAGAGACGGCUAACUACGUG
rnacentral:rRNA from 1 species